GAUUCCUACGGGGGGCAGCAGUGGGGAAUAUUGGGCAAUGGGCGCAAGCCUGACCCAGCAACGCCGCGUGAAGGAAGAAGGCUUUCGGGUUGUAAACUUCUUUUCUCAGGGACGAAGCAAGUGACGGUACCUGAGGAAUAAGCCCCGGCUAACUACGUGCCAGCAGCCGCGGUAAUACGUAGGGGGCAAGCGUUGUUCGGAAUGACUGGGCGUAAAGGGUGUGUAGGCGGGGUAGCAAGUUAGAAGUGAAAUACCUAGAGCUUAACUCCGGUGCUGCUUCUAAAACUGCUUUACUUGA
rnacentral:rRNA from 1 species